UACGUAGGUGACAAGCGUUGUCCGGAUUUACUGGGCGUAAAGAGCGCGCAGGCGGUCGUUCAAGUCGAGUGUGAAAGCCCCCGGCUCAACUGGGGAGGGUCACUCGAUACUGAUCGACUCGAAGGCAGGAGAGGGUAGUGGAAUUCCCGGUGUAGUGGUGAAAUGCGUAGAGAUGUGGAGGAACACCGAUGGCGAAGGCAGCCCCCUGGGCCGAUACUGACGCUCAGGCACGAAAGCGUGGGGAGCAAGCAGG
rnacentral:rRNA from 1 species